rnacentral:rRNA from 1 species
GAUGAACGCUGGCGGCGUGCCUAAUACAUGCAAGUCGAGCGAACGGACGAGAAGCUUGCUUCUCUGAUGUUAGCGGCGGACGGGUGAGUAACACGUGGAUAACCUACCUAUAAGACUGGGAUAACUUCGGGAAACCGGAGCUAGUACCGGAUAAUAUUUUGAACCGCAUGGUUCAAAGGUGAAAGACGGUCUUGCUGUCACUUAUAGAUGGAUCCGCGCUGCAUUAGCUAGUUGGUAAGGUAACGGCUUACCAAGGCAACGAUGCAUAGCCGACCUGAGAGGGUGAUCGGCCACACUGGAACUGAGACACGGUCCAGACUCCUACGGGAGGCAGCAGUAGGGAAUCUUCCGCAAUGGGCGAAAGCCUGACGGAGCAACGCCGCGUGAGUGAUGAAGGUCUUCGGAUCGUAAAACUCUGUUAUUAGGGAAGAACAUAUGUGUAAGUAACUGUGCACAUCUUGACGGUACCUAAUCAGAAAGCCACGGCUAACUACGUG